rnacentral:lncRNA from 1 species
ACUGCAGAGGCACCUGCAAACACACCUGGCUGCUGCUCCCAUUAACCCUCGUUUCCUGCUGGGAGCCAGAAAAGCCCCACACCAAAACAAGGCUUACUCCCUUGGUGUUGGCUGCUGUCCCCUCGGCACUGAGCUCCCAGUGAGCCCUCCUCACCAUCCAGGUAAAUUUGCAAUGUUUUCCAUAAAGAAGUGACUCAGCCCUACCUGGCUGCCCAGGACAGAGGACCCUGGAGCAGGUGAGUUCCUGUGAGAAGCCAUUGGCUGGCUCCAGCAUCAGAUGGCUGUGGAGGGGGAGCAUUGCAGGGAUUUUUCCUGGAAAAUCAUUACAUGUUUGACUUAAGUUGCCCUGAGAGAAGCAAGCACAGCCUGGUCCCCAGUGAGCUGCACAGCAGGGAGGUGAUAUCACAUCUGUUGGGAUCACGAGCCUGUGUGGGACACCACUGCCUCCCUCUGCAUCAGCACAGUGGGACGGCUCACAAACCACAAUUAAAUGGUCCCUGCUUAUCCUGCUGAGCUCAGGGCUUGCAGGCCCCACACCGGGUGGAGCCGUGAGUGUGUGGGGACACAGGGUUUGGGUUUUGCUCUGUGCGUCACCAGCCCAGGGGGGUGACUUCUCUGUGGUUUCUGCCAGAACAUUGGCAAUUGACAGCCAAUUUUGUCUGUUCCCCCUCCCUGCUGUGCCCUGGGUGCUGGGAGGGUGGUGGUAUAUGUUCUGGGGGCCCAGGCAGUGGACCUUGCUCCUCUAGGGAUUUCUUCCCCUGUGUUUUCUGCAGAGGACUGAAGGCUUUGAAUUGCUGAAACCAGCACAGCUGAACGCAGAACUUGCUCCUGCUUGGUUGUGUAUGCAUGAGAAUACUGAUAUGGGGGCUUUUGGGCAGCUGCCUCCUCUCCCCUGCAAGAGCCCUUGCCACUGGAUUGGGAAAUGUGUAUUUCCCCAGGGAUAUUAUAACCCAUUAAGUAGGUAAUGGACACUUUGGGUUGAGGUUUUGGUUUCACCCACUGUGAUAUCAAAUGGAGAUCAGGCUCUUGGCUCAUGCCCUGCCCUCAUUUAAGGGCAGUGCUGCCUGGAGCUGUUAUGAGGGCAGAAGGGCAUCUCUGCUGCCUGCCCUGUGCUCGGCACAGGCAGGUGUUGGGGUGUGGGACUGGCAUGAAUGGUGUGGUUGUUUGUGGUGCAGCAGCUGCUCCCGGGGUCUCAAGGAUGGUGAAAGAACACAGAGGGUCUCCAGGACAUCCCCCAGCAUUCCAGUUCAAGGCAUGGGGGACUGUACAGAGGUUGGGGUGACCCCAGUAGCAGCCCACGAUCGGGGUGUUCCCAUUUUUGCCAGCUGAGGGAGGUGGCACAUGCUGUUAGCUGGCACAGCAGCAGGAUGGCAGCACUGGCUGUAACCCCUCCCUGAUGCCAGCAUGCCUACAGCUGUGUUUGCAGCCCAGAAACAUUGCAUUCCCAAUGCCACGGGUUAGCAAUAGUUCUGGCAUUAACUAGAGCAUCUUCCUCAUGACCUGGAAAGGUGCAAGGAGCCAAGGGCUGGUGCUCAUUAGUUCUUGGGGAUUCAGAGAGGGGGUGAUAUCCAGCCAGACUUUACCCUGGGAUGCAACCUGGUGAAAUCCAUGCACAGCCACCCCUGGAUGGAGGAGAUCCAUCUGCCCCGUGAAGGCUCGCUGCCAGUGUAUCCACUCAUCCUGCAGGUCUCCUCUCUCAUUUUCAUGUGCUUUUCUCAUUUGCUACACUGUUAUUUUGUUCUGAAAGAACUUCAGGAGAGUGUUUCUUCCCAUCCUGCUGGGAACAAGCAGAGCCACCCCUCUGCUCUCCUCGCUCCCUGGUGUAAGGAGGCCUUUCUUUUCUUAUUUUAUUUUAGCACUUUGAUGUCAUCAUAAUUUAUUUUUGCAGCAGAGUUGUUUUCAUGAUAAAAUGGAAAUGUUUCUCAUGGGUGGCUUUAGAAUGAAAGGCUGAGUGAGAAGGCUAAAAAUAGCAUCCUGUGAGCCUCUAGCUGUGUGAGUGACUAGCUGGGCAGGGGCUGCUUGCUGAGCUGGUGAGGGGACUUGGUGGUCCUCAGGACUGUAUCCAAGGAGACCCUUGCCAAUGGUUAAUCCUUGCUUCACUGGAGCACAUGGCUGGUUCACCGGCCAAGCUCAAGAUUGCUUUUCUCUUGAGCUAACCUUGAUUAUGCUGCAUUAGAGGCAGACAUCCCCUCUCCUGAGAUGUGGCCCUCCUGAGAUAUCCCCUCUCCUUGUGCGAGCUCUUGAUGGCUGGAUGAGGACACAGAUUCCCCACAGGAACAUUGCAAAUGGCAUGGGUGCACAAGGCAGAGCUAAUCAGGGAAUGCUGAAGGCCCCACCUUCUCCCUCUCUCCAGAAAGGAGAACGUCAGGAGCAGAUGAGCAGGAUGAAGCUAAAGAGCCAUAACUGAAUAGCUGGGUCUUCCCAGCCCCUGCCUCUCCCCCCAGGGGUGCAUUGAGGGCUGCCUCUGUGCGAGCUGGAUGUGUCCUGAGCAGGAUGUGGCUGUCAGCCUUUAUCCACUGGAAGUAAUGCUGCUGGGGAGAGCUCUCCCAGUAAUGUCUCUCAUUACACGAUCUGACUGCCCCGCUAGGAGGAAAGUUCAUUCCUGUUUACCCUGUUGACUCAUCUUCCCUUUCAUCUUCUCUCUCAGAUGUAGCUUAUUAUAUGGCACUAUAAAUAGGGUUUGCUCCUGAUUACAUGUGCCCAGCUCUUACGGUUUCUUGCCCAGGUGUGACGUCAGCAGAGAGCCUCCCAGCAUGGUUGUGUAACAUUUUGUUAUGGUUCUGGGAAUGGGAGUGGGUGGGUGAGCUUGGCUGGGGCUGUCUCCUCCUUUUAUUCUUGAUGGCAAUAGCUCUGAGGGUGCCUCUGACCAAAUCUCAUCACAGCAUCCCUUUCUGCUGCUCACAUCUCUUCUGACCUCCAAGUGCUGACUCCAAAAUCUCACUGCUGUGUGCCAGACCCCACUGCCUGUCCCCCACUGUCCUGGAACUGCAGAGCAGGCCCAUUCAGGCUGCUCCACAGUAGCUGAGAGCAGCUGGGCAGCAUGGCAGAUCCCUGUUUGGGUAGACAGAGAUGAUGCAGUCACUUGGCACCCCAUGCUUCAAUUGCAUAUUAGCAGAAUCCAGCAUAUUUCCCAAGCAUGGCUUCAAAGCCUUGUAAGUGUGUCAUGGAUGGCAGGAAGACCAUCACAGGAGCUUUUUUUUGCUGUGUAGGUGCACCAAGUCACCCUGCAGUCAUCUCUGAUGAGGAGGUGCCAGGCUGGCUGGCCUGGCACAGCAGCACUCCCAGAAAGCGUCAGCACAUUGCUCAAAGGCGUUUGAUAUAAAUAGAUGGGCGGCUCAAAGCAAAAGCUGCAAUCAUCUAUGUGCCAGCACGAGACAGGAGUGGGUAAACACAGGUGGCUGCUGUGUCCGCCAAAUGCAGCUCAAUGACACCACGAGCAUCUCACAAGUGUGGCCCAGUGACAUAAAUAUCCUCAGCAUGGCUGAGGUGGGGAGCAGGGUGAGCAAAGCCCACAGCUCUGAUAGAAGAGCAGAGUUAGCAGAGAUCAUGGGGCCAUUGGUCUCCUUGUCUUCCAUACAAAUCCACACCUGGGAAGUUAAGGACCUUGAAAAUGAUGGCAGGGAUUGAGCUGACCUUGAGAGUGAGCUGGUAUAUCCCUGUGGUGCCAGGGCUAUCUGCUUGGUAGCAGUCUCUGCAGAGUUUGGGGGCUGGUGGUGCAGCUCCCAGCCUGAGGCACAGUGAAGUCAGCUUUUUACUGAGAAAUUACUUUCAGCUGCAUGCAGGCGGGGUUAAAUAGCAGAUGAAAGUCAAAUAUUUACAGAUUCAAAUUAGCACACUGAUCUUCCGGGUUGGGAAACCUUGAGCAUCAGUUCCUAUGCUGAACAGAAAUGUUGGUAAGCUGGUGGCUUUGCCCUGCUCUGGUUUUGCCAUGGAGAGCAUGGAUCAGCUAGCCUUGUUUCCCAGUGCUGUCCUUGAGGGGUACCAGUUCCCUUGGGUUUUUGAUGCCAGUCUCAGUGGGUGAAAGUUCUGGGGUAUGUUGCCAGGUUUUUAAGGUCAGGAAGAACAAUGAUCUCCAUUAAGUGGAUGUGUUCCAUAAUAGGGACUAUUGUGACUCUCGCAUUCCUUGGUCACCAUUUGGGUGGUUAAUUACCCUUGCUCUUAAGUAAACAGAUAAUUGUGCCCUAUUAAAGGGAGGAUGUUGAAGAGACAAAAGAUGGGGUAUGGGCUCUGGUUAUCUCAACUGCAGUGCCUCCUCAUGGACCUGCCAUGCAUGAGGGCAGAUGGCUGAUAUACCAAGAACGGUGCUGCAUCUCCAGGCCAUGGGCCACCACUGAAACUCUGCCUUGAACCUCCUACGACACUUUGAGGAGCCUGUCUCUAUGGAUCUGGGGUGACUUUUGAUGAAUUUGCAUGACUCAGUGAAUAGAGAAUUGAUCACUUGCCAGCAGGGCUGGCGUCACCAGCCAGUGUGAGAGAAAUUUGAUCGGAACAACCAGUAUUUAUUGAGGUGCUGGCACUGGAAGGGAAGCACCCUGGUGAGAGCCCUGGGGAAGAGGCUGGGACCGGAGAGCCUGGGUUUCCCAGCAGAUUUAGGCAGCAGGAUCAGAGCAGCCUCAAGCUGGUAGAAGCAGAAAUCCUUAUUGCCCUUAUGACUGCUGUGCCAUUGUUCCUAGUUUUGCUUUGCAUUGAUGCUCAAAAAUGUACUGGUUUUAACUGAGAUGCUGGAAACUGCUCCAGUGAUAAGGAGUCUGGCAGGGCAGAGAUGUGUAAGCUCAUGCUGUGAUGUCCCCACUUCACCCUUUCCAAAGCCCUCAGUGAUAAGAAAGGUAGGAAGAUGAAGAACCACAAAUUUGAAGAACUUCUCUGUUCACAUAAAAUAAAGGGCAAAAAAGCCUGAGUGUGUUUUCCCAUCCUCCCCAGGGCAGCCCACAAGAGUGAGGCUGCCUUGUAGUUACCCCUGUAGAGAUGCAGGAUUUGGGACUCUUCAGGGGGUUAAGGAAAACUCUUCUGGAUGGGUACCUGCACAUGACACAGAUGCUCUGUCUGUGAUGUUGAUUGGCUGUGGAUUGCUUCUGCAGCACCAGCCAUGGCAGGGUGGCACAAGCUGUGCUCCAAAAGCCGGGGGAUAGGGCAAAUAGGACUGGAGCAGCAGCCCUGGGUGAGCCACACAAACUGUGUCCCUGUGGGGUGACAGUGAUAACAGGCGACAACAACCCCUGCCAGUUGUCAGCAGAGGUGUGCCACAGGCUUCACAAGCAAGCAUGAAGUGAGCCACUUGCCAACUUCCCAAGGAUUGGAAAGCCACUGCCAGCCCCUGCAGCUCCCUGUGGCUCCCAGCACAUGUGCACACCACCAGCCUUGUGCCUCCCUGCUGGCACAGAGCCAAGCUGCUUGCAAUGAGGGAACCAAAACACAGCAGCCAGGAGGAUUUUGCAGGCUCUUUCAUUAACCUUGGCCCAGAUAGAGUUUGGUUUAAUAAUCCCUGCACAGAUUGCCCAGAUCAGGGCAUUUGCCUCAUCUCUGAGAUGAGAGACAGAGAAAACCAUCAGGAAUAUUUUUUUCGGCAAACUUCAUUAUCUCCAUGACCCAUCUGACAGAUUGGCCUAGGAAGGGGGGCAGCUGCCUUGCUCCAUGCCAGACACAGCUCACAUUCCUCCCAUCUCCAGCACGGCUGCUGCGCUCACUCAGCUUAUGAAGCCUGCCCUACUUUGGAUCAGCCCACAGCAUCUUUGAUUUUGAGGUCAGUGACAGCUGCUGGCAAGCCUGCACUCCCUUACACCGUGUUUACUUUUUAAGCAGCACAAUGUAAAUUCAGAACGAACAGCUUCCUUGGGCUGCUUUAACUGUUUCAGUAUUCCUGCAGAGGAACUCAAUACGAAUUGGGAUGGAGUUCAAGCCUUCAUAUAGCUGUGGUUUUGCACUUCAGUUCUUCUGCUUAAUUCUGAGUUUGGUUAUUGAUCCCUCACUAAUAACUGAAGAGGAGACUGUGAGGACUUCACGAUCUACAGCUUCCUCUCGAGGGGAAGCAGAGGGGCAGGCAGUG